rnacentral:rRNA from 1 species
GAGCGAAAGCGACGUUCAACCUCAAAAGAAGCAGAGGGGGCUUAGUGGUGGGUGUGACUGCGUACCUUUUGUAUAAUGGGUCAGCGACUUAUAUUCUGUAGCAAGGUUAACCGAAUAGGGGAGCCGGAGGGAAACCGAGUCUUAAUUGGGCGUUAAGUUGCAGGGUAUAGACCCGAAACCCGGUGAUCUAGCCAUGGGCAGGUUGAAGGUUGGGUAACACUAACUGGAGGACCGAACCGACUAAUGUUGAAAAAUUAGCGGAUGACCUGUGGCUGGGGGUGAAAGGCCAAUCAAACCGGGAGAUAGCUGGUUCUCCCCGAAAGCUAUUUAGGUAGCGCCUCGUGAAUUCAUCUCCGGGGGUAGAGCACUGUUUCGGCUAGGGGGCCAUCCCGGCUUACCAACCCGAUGCAAACUGCGAAUACCGGAGAAUGUUAUCACGGGAGACACACGGCGGGUGCUAACGUCCGUCGUGAAGAGGGAAACAACCCAGACCGCCAGCUAAGGUCCCAAAGUCAUGGUUAAGUGGGAAACGAUGUGGGAAGGCCCAGACAGCCAGGAUGUUGGCUUAGAAGCAGCCAUCAUUUAAAGAAAGCGUAAUAGCUCACUGGUCGAGUCGGCCUGCGCGGAAGAUGUAACGGGGCUAAACCAUGCACCGAAGCUGCGGCAGCGACGCUGAUGCGUUGUUGGGUAGGGGAGCGUUCUGUAAGCCUGCGAAGGUGGCCUGUGAGGGUUGCUGGAGGUAUCAGAAGUGCGAAUGCUGACAUAAGUAACGAUAAAGCGGGUGAAAAGCCCGCUCGCCGGAAGACCAAGGGUUCCUGUCCAACGUUAAUCGGGGCAGGGUGAGUCGACCCCUAAGGCGAGGCCGAAAGGCGUAGUCGAUGGGAAACGGGUUAAUAUUCCCGUACUUGGUGUUACUGCGAAGGGGGGACGGAGAAGGCUAUGUUGGCCGGGCGACGGUUGUCCCGGUUUAAGCGUGUAGGUGUGUGUUCCAGGUAAAUCCGGUUCACUUUAACACUGAGGCGUGAUGACGAGGCACUACGGUGCUGAAGCAACAAAUGCCCUGCUUCCAGGAAAAGCCUCUAAGCAUCAGGUAACAUCAAAUCGUACCCCAAACCGACACAGGUGGUCAGGUAGAGAAUACCAAGGCGCUUGAGAGAACUCGGGUGAAGGAACUAGGCAAAAUGGUGCCGUAACUUCGGGAGAAGGCACGCUGACACGUAGGUGAAGUGAUUUACUCAUGGAGCUGAAGUCAGUCGAAGAUACCAGCUGGCUGCAACUGUUUAUUAAAAACACAGCACUGUGCAAACACGAAAGUGGACGUAUACGGUGUGACGCCUGCCCGGUGCCGGAAGGUUAAUUGAUGGGGUCAGCGCAAGCGAAGCUCCUGAUCGAAGCCCCGGUAAACGGCGGCCGUAACUAUAACGGUCCUAAGGUAGCGAAAUUCCUUGUCGGGUAAGUUCCGACCUGCACGAAUGGCGUAAUGAUGGCCAGGCUGUCUCCACCCGAGACUCAGUGAAAUUGAACUCGCUGUGAAGAUGCAGUGUACCCGCGGCAAGACGGAAAGACCCCGUGAACCUUUACUAUAGCUUGACACUGAACAUUGAGCCUUGAUGUGUAGGAUAGGUGGGAGGCUUUGAAGUGUGGACGCCAGUCUGCAUGGAGCCGGCCUUGAAAUACCACCCUUUAAUGUUUGAUGUUCUAACGUGGACCCGUGAUCCGGGUUGCGGACAGUGUCUGGUGGGUAGUUUGACUGGGGCGGUCUCCUCCUAAAGAGUAACGGAGGAGCACGAAGGUUGGCUAAUCCUGGUCGGACAUCAGGAGGUUAGUGCAAUGGCAUAAGCCAGCUUGACUGCGAGCGUGACGGCGCGAGCAGGUGCGAAAGCAGGUCAUAGUGAUCCGGUGGUUCUGAAUGGAAGGGCCAUCGCUCAACGGAUAAAAGGUACUCCGGGGAUAACAGGCUGAUACCGCCCAAGAGUUCAUAUCGACGGCGGUGUUUGGCACCUCGAUGUCGGCUCAUCACAUCCUGGGGCUGAAGUAGGUCCCAAGGGUAUGGCUGUUCGCCAUUUAAAGUGGUACGCGAGCUGGGUUUAGAACGUCGUGAGACAGUUCGGUCCCUAUCUGCCGUGGGCGCUGGAGAACUGAGGGGGGCUGCUCCUAGUACGAGAGGACCGGAGUGGACGCAUCACUGGUGUUCGGGUUGUCAUGCCAAUGGCACUGCCCGGUAGCUAAAUGCGGAAGAGAUAAGUGCUGAAAGCAUCUAAGCACGAAACUUGCCCCGAGAUGAGUUCUCCCUGAGACUUAGAGUCUCCUGAAGGAACGUUGAAGACGACGACGUUGAUAGGCCGGGUGUGUAAGCGCAGCGAUGCGUUGAGCUAACCGGUACUAAUGAACCGUGAGGCUUAACCUUACAACGCCGAAG